UACGUAGGGGGCGAGCGUUGUCCGGAUUUAUUGGGCGUAAAGAGCUCGUAGGCGGUUCGGUAAGUCGGAUGUGAAAUCUCCACGCUCAACGUGGAGGGGCCAUUCGAUACUGCUGUGACUCGAGUCCGGUAGGGGAGUGUGGAAUUCCCGGUGUAGCGGUGAAAUGCGCAGAGAUCGGGAGGAACACCCGUAGCGAAGGCGGCACUCUGGGCCGGUACUGACGCUGAGGAGCGAAAGCGUGGGGAGCGAACAGG
rnacentral:rRNA from 1 species